rnacentral:rRNA from 1 species
UACGGGGGGGGCAAGCGUUGUUCGGAAUUACUGGGCGUAAAGGCUCGUAGGCGGCCAACUAAGUCAGACGUGAAAUCCCUCGGCUUAACCGGGGAACUGCGUCCGAUACUGGAUGGCUUGAGGUUGGGAGAGGGAUGCGGAAUUCCAGGUGUAGCGGUGAAAUGCGUAGAUAUCGGAGGAACACCGGUGGCGAAGGCGCGAUCCGUGGACC